rnacentral:rRNA from 1 species
AUAGUUGGUGGGGUAAAGGCCUACCAAGGCAUCGAUCAGUAGCUGGUUUGAGAGGACGACCAGCCACACUGGAACUGAGACACGGUCCAGACUCCUACGGGAGGCAGCAGUGAGGAAUUUUGGACAAUGGGCGCAAGCCUGAUCCAGCAAUGCCGCGUGAGUGAAGAAGGCCUUCGGGUUGUAAAGCUCUUUUGUCAGGGAAGAAACGGUGAGGGCUAAUAUCCCUUGCUAAUGACGGUACCUGAAGAAUAAGCACCGGCUAACUACGUGCCAGCAGCCGCGGUAAUACGUAGGGUGCAAGCGUUAAUCGGAAUUACUGGGCGUAGAGCGUGCGCAGGCGGUUUUGUAAGUCUGUCGUGAAAUCCCCGGGCUCAACCUGGGAAUUGCGAUGGAGACUGCAAGGCUAGAAUCUGGCAGAGGGGGGUAGAAUUCCACGUGUAGCAGUGAAAUGCGUAGAGAUGUGGAGGAACACCGAUGGCGAAGGCAGCCCCCUGGGUCAAGAUUGACGCUCAUGCACGAAAGCGUGGGGAGCAAACAGGAUUAGAUACCCUGGUAGUCCACGCCCUAAACGAUGUCUACUAGUUGUCGGGUUUUAAUUAACUUGGUAACGCAGCUAACGCGUGAAGUAGACCGCCUGGGGAGUACGGUCGCAAGAUUAAAACUCAAAGGAAUUGACG